UACGGGGGGAGCAAGCGUUGUUCGGAUUUACUGGGCGUAAAGGGCGCGUAGGCGGUCGUGACAAGUCACUUGUGAAAUCUCCGGGCUUAACUCGGAACGGUCAAGUGAUACUGUCGGACUAGAGUACAGAAGGGGCAACUGGAAUUCUCGGUGUAGCGGUGAAAUGCGUAGAUAUCAGUCGGAACACCAGUGGCGAAGGCGGCUUCUUGGGCCAUUACUGACGCUGAGGCGCGAAAGCCAGGGGAGCGAACGGG
rnacentral:rRNA from 1 species